GCAAGUCGAACGGUGAAGAGGAGCUUGCUCCUUGGAUCAGUGGCGAACGGGUGAGUAACACGUGAGCAAUCUGCCCUUGACUCUGGGAUAACUGCGGGAAACUGUAGCUAAUACCGGAUAUUACCUUGGAAGGCAUCUUCUGGGGUGGAAAGAAUUUUGGUCAAGGAUGAGCUCGCGGCCUAUCAGCUAGUUGGUGAGGUAAUGGCUCACCAAGGCGACAACGGGUAGCCGGCCUGAGAGGGUGACCGGCCACACUGGGACUGAGACACGGCCCAAACUCCUACGGGAGGCAGCAGUGGGGAAUAUUGCACAAUGGGCGCAAGCCUGAUGCAGCAACGCCGCGUGAGGGACGACGGCCUUCGGGUUGUAAACCUCUUUUAGUAGGGAAGAAGCGACUGGGUUUUCCUGGAAGUGACGGUACCUGCAAAAAAAGCACCGGCUAACUACGUGCCAGCAGCCGCGGUAAUACGUAGGGUGCAAGCGUUGUCCGGAAUUAUUGGGCGUAAAGAGCUCGUAGGCGGUUUGUCGCGUCUGCUGUGAAAACCCGAGGCUCAACCUCGGGCCUGCAGUGGGUACGGGCAGACUAGAGUGCGGUAGGGGAGAUUGGAAUUCCUGGUGUAGCGGUGGAAUGCGCAGAUAUCAGGAGGAA
rnacentral:rRNA from 1 species